rnacentral:rRNA from 1 species
AUUGAACGCUGGCGGCAGGCCUAACACAUGCAAGUCGAGCGGCAGCGGGAAAGUAGCUUGCUACUUUUGCCGGCGAGCGGCGGACGGGCGAGUAAUGCCUGGGAAAUUGCCCAGUCGAGGGGGAUAACAGUUGGAAACGACUGCUAAUACCGCAUACGCCCUACGGGGGAAAGCAGGGGACCUUCGGGCCUUGCGCGAUUGGAUAUGCCCAGGUGGGAUUAGCUAGUUGGUGAGGUAAUGGCUCACCAAGGCGACGAUCCCUAGCUGGUCUGAGAGGAUGAUCAGCCACACUGGAACUGAGACGCGGUCCAGACUCCUACGGGAGGCAGCAGUGGGGAAUAUUGCACAAUGGGGGAAACCCUGAUGCAGCCAUGCCGCGUGUGUGAAGAAGGCCUUCGGGUUGUAAAGCACUUUCAGCGAGGAGGAAAGGUUGAUGCCUAAUACGCAUCAACUGUGACGUUACUCGCAGAAGAAGCACCGGCUAACUCCGUGCCAGCAGCCGCCGUAA